rnacentral:rRNA from 1 species
AUGGGGAGGUUUGCGGCAUCCGGGCACCCGUCAUCAAAAUCUGGUAUCGGUCCUUCUAAAUGUGUGGAGCUUGCUAAGCAUGUGAAACUAGCUUGCCCAAACUUAAUACUGUCAGGACUCUUGACAAUAGGGAUGAAAGAUUACUCCUCAACACCAGAAAAUUUUAAGGCAUUGGCAAAUUGUAAGCUUGAAUUUUGCAAGGCCCUUGGGAUACCAACAGAACAGUUUGAACUCUCCAUGGGAAUGUCCGGUGACUUUGAGCAAGCGGCACUAUGCUGCUUGGGCUCAAUUACCUAUUUCUGCCGUUUUGCAGCUGCCGUUCCAAAUCUUGACAUGGUUGAUAGUGUAGGUAAUGAAAAGAUUGCUAAUCAUCUGGAUCAUGCUGUCGUUAGCUUGGGGAGGGAGCCUUUGGAAGUUAUGGUGCAAAUAAACACUAGUGGAGAAGAAUCCAAAUCUGGUGUUGAUCCUUCUAAAUGUGUGGAGCUUGCUAAGCAUGUGAAACUAGCUUGCCCAAACUUAAUAUUGUCAGGACUCAUGACAAUAGGGAUGAAAGAUUACUCCUCAACACCGGAAAAUUUUAAGGUGGCUUUCUAUUAUGACAUUAUCAUGAAUAAUCUUUCUGUGUUGACACUUUCACAAGCUGCUGUUUUCUUUGAUCUGAAUACAGGCACUGGUAAACUGUAA